UAAUCACAACUAUUAUUUGUCCCUGCUAAUGAUCCAUGCCGAUUCGAGUCAGCAGUGCACGGUGUGCGAUCUCCCUUUCACAAAAAUUUUGUUCCCCAGGGCCACGUUCUAGUACAAUUCUUAUUAAUAUUCUUUAAGUGUUUUCUCUAUCUAUUGUGAGACUUAUUUUAUUUUUUAUUUCACACUUUAAAAAUCUAACACCACCUCAUCCAAAGAC
rnacentral:lncRNA from 1 species